UGAUAAGGGGUCACCAGGUGGGGUUAUAGUCAUGGAGAAGCCUGAUGAUGAGGGGUCACCAGGUGGGGUUAUAGUGAUGGAGAGGCCUGAUGAUGAGGAGUCACCAGGUGGGGUUAUAGUGAUGGAGAGGCUUGAUGAUGAGGAGUCACCAGGUGGGGUUAUAGUGAUGGAGAGGCCUGAUGAUGAGGGGUCACCAGGUGGGGUUAUAGUGAUGGAGAGGCCUGAUGAUGAGGGGUCACCAGGUGGGGUUAUAGUGAUGGAGAGGUCUGAUGAUGAGGAGUCACCAGGUGGGGUUAUAGUGAUGGAGAGGCCUGAUGAUAAGGAGUCACCAGGUGGGGUUAUAGUGAUGGAGAGGCCUGAUGAUAAGGGGUCACCAGGUGGGGUUAUAGUCAUGGAGAAGCCUGAUGAUGAGGGGUCACCAGGUGCAACAGGUGGUGAAGGGGACGGAAGAGACACCACACCUGUUCACAGCACUGGCACUUCUGAUACCACAGAGAGAAUAAAGUCGACGGCGCAGGUCAAACGUCUGAUUUAUGACCCUAUGUCAUGAUGACGUGUGCAUGCCCUUAUUUGGGCAUCCGGUCAGGACAUCCUGGCGGGAACUGAUCACGUGCUAAUGCCCAUAUAUGGGCAUCCGGUUCCUGUUCUCACGCAUUAGAGGGUGUGCUAAUUUAUGCAUAUUGUAUCUAUUCCUUUGAAGUUGUCAUGCUGAUUGAUGUCUAGGGACCUCUUUGAACUGGGGGGAUGUGUUUGAACAUUUCAACGAGUAUGGCCCCCCACCCCCUUGUUUUAUUGACCUUAGGGCUGUUGUCUAUGAAACAGGAAUGUCCGGGGUAUUGGGUGUGGCAGACGCAUUAUAAAUAAAGUCCAGAACAAGACAUCCGGCCCCAGAACAGUAAACAAGAUUUUUUAAAUAAAACCCAGAAUAUUAAAACAGCAAAAUAUGUCUCCUAGGCCAAUUCUCGGGGUGCUAUGCGGCUCAUGUCAUGAACCCAAUGACAAAAGCCUGGAGGAUGUUUUGUGUGAGACCCCAGAAUGUUUUAAAGGAGUUUUGGGUACGAGUGAGGGACAUAUGUCUUACAUAUUCCAACCUGAGGAAUCUACGGUUAAGAUAUUCACAGACAGCAGCCCCAAACCCCUUUAUCGGGCAAAACCCGGGAGUUUUUCUCCUGCACUACGGAUGAGAGAAUGGCUUAAAAUAAGCCGACUUGCGCUCUGUCAAAUUGAACAGGCCCUGAGCGGUUCAACUCAGCCCGGACAUGCUCUGAAGAACUGGUCUGCGGACGCAGUGAUCUGAAGGCCCUAAGAAUCGCUUCAAUUGCA
ensembl:lncRNA